CCCUUUUAGUACAGAUGUUAUGCUCUCUCUGUGUGUCACAGUCUUGUAGGUUUCAUCUGUCGCUUCUCAAAGGAAUCAGCUAUACCGAGAUUUACACUAUCGAUCAAAACACCUACGAAUGCGCAUGACACUUUGGACACCCUGUGACGUAAAUUAACAAAGGACAGUUUCAGUAAUGGACGUUGGAACCUAAACAAUAAUCAGUAAACAAAAUUGUCA
rnacentral:lncRNA from 1 species